GGAGAAAAGCAGGGGAUCGUAAGACCUUGCGCUUUUGGAGUGGCCGAUGCCUGAUUAGCUAGUUGGUGGGGUAAGAGCCUACCAAGGCGACGAUCAGUAGUUGGUCUGAGAGGACGACCAGCCACACUGGGACUGAGACACGGCCCAGACCCCUACGGGAGGCAGCAGUGGGGAAUUUUGGACAAUGGGCGAAAGCCUGAUCCAGCAAUGCCGCGUGAGUGAAGAAGGCCUUCGGGUUGUAAAGCUCUUUCAGUCGAGAAGAAAAGGUUGCGACUAAUAAUCGCAACUUAUGACGGUAUCGACAGAAGAGGCACCGGCUAACUACGUGCCAGCAGCCGCGGUAAUACGUAGGGUGCGAGCGUUAAUCGGAAUUACUGGGCGUAAAGGGUGCGCAUGCGGCUCCGUAAGUCAGAUGUGAAAUCCCCGGGCUUAACCUGGGAAUUGCGUUUGAAACUACAAAGCUAGA
rnacentral:rRNA from 1 species